rnacentral:rRNA from 1 species
UACGUAGGGGGCAAGCGUUGUCCGGAAUCAUUGGGCGUAAAGAGCGUGUAGGCGGCCAGAUAAGUCCGCUGUGAAAUCUCGAGGCUCAACUUCGAGCUGUCGGUGGAAACUGUCUGGCUAGAGUCCGGAAGAGGAGAAUGGAAUUCCUGGUGUAGCGGUGAAAUGCGCAGAUAUCAGGAGGAACACCGGUGGCGAAGGCGGGACUCUGGGCCGAUACUGACGCUGAGGAGCGAAAGCGUGGGGAGCAAACAGG